rnacentral:misc_RNA from 1 species
GUUUAGCCCCGAUUGAACGGUUUGUUUGAGCUCUUUUUUUAAAAUUUUUCACGGAUUAUGCUUGUUAAAAAUUUUAAAAAAAAGCGAGCCGAGAAAGCGGGAAAUAGC